UACGGGGGGGGCAAGCGUUGUUCGGAAUUACUGGGCGUAAAGGGCUCGUAGGCGGCCCAACUAAGUCAGACGUGAAAUCCCUCGGCUUAACCGGGGAACUGCGUCUGAUACUGGAUGGCUUGAGGUUGGGAGAGGGAUGCGGAAUUCCAGGUGUAGCGGUGAAAUGCGUAGAUAUCUGGAGGAACACCGGUGGCGAAGGCGGCAUCCUGGACCAAUUCUGACGCUGAGGAGCGAAAGCCAGGGGGAGCAAACGGG
rnacentral:rRNA from 1 species